rnacentral:rRNA from 1 species
GAUGAACGCUGGCGGCGUGCCUAAUACAUGCGAGUCGAGCGAACAGACGAGGAGCUUGCUCCUCUGACGUUAGCGGCGGACGGGUGAGUAACACGUGGAUAACCCACCUAUAAGACUGGGAUAACUUCGGGAAACCGGAGCUAAUACCGGAUAAUAUAUUGAACCGCAUGGUUCAAUAGUGAAAGACGGUUUUGCUGUCACUUAUAGAUGGAUCCGCGCCGCAUUAGCUAGUUGGUAAGGUAACGGCUUACCAAGGCAACGAUGCGUAGCCGACCUGAGAGGGUGAUCGGCCACACUGGAACUGAGACACGGUCCAGACUCCUACGGGAGGCAGCAGUAGGGAAUCUUCCGCAAUGGGCGAAAGCCUGACGGAGCAACGCCGCGUGAGUGAUGAAGGUCUUCGGAUCGUAAAACUCUGUUAUUAGGGAAGAACAAAUGUGUAAGUAACUAUGCACGUCUUGACGGUACCUAAUCAGAAAGCCACGGCUAACUACGUG